AAAGGUCAAACAGUACAACCAGAAGCUCAGGGCAUUCUACUUGGACAAGUCAAAUUCACCACCAAACUCAACAUCCAAAGCUGCCUAUGUAGAUAAGCUAAUGAGGCCUCUCAACGCUUUGGAUGAACUUUACCGACUGGUAGCCUCGUUUAUCAGAUCCAAGCGCACAGCUGCCUGUGCAAACACAGCUUGCAGUGCCUCUGGGGUUGGACUGCUGUCAGUUUCCUCGGAGCUGUGCAACAGGCUGGGCGCCUGCCACAUCAUCAUGUGCAGCAGCGGUGUGCAUCGGUGCACCCUGAGCGUGACGCUGGAGCAAGCCAUCAUUCUGGCCAGAAGCCACGGACUGCCACCUCGUUACAUCAUGCAGGCUACAGAUGUGAUGCGGAAGCAGAUUUUGUGUAUAUACUUUUCGUAGAGUUGUUAUUUUAAUUCACUGCUUGAGUUUGAAGGAAAGAUAAAAGACAGAAGAGAAGGGUACUAUGUUUUCACGAUGUUUUGCUAAUGAUUGUAACAACCUUGGGCAGCAGUUUAUGUAACCAGCUGAUUUGAUUAAUAAAAGGCUUGCA
rnacentral:sRNA from 1 species